rnacentral:rRNA from 1 species
UACAGAGGUGGCUAGCGUUAUUCGGAAUUAUUGGGCGUAAAGGGCGCGUAGGCGGCUAGGCAAGUCACAGGUGAAAUCCCUCGGCUUAACCGAGGAACUGCCUUUGAAACUGCCUGGCUUGAGGCCGGGAGAGGGUAGCGGAAUUCCCAGUGUAGCGGUGAAAUGCGUAGAUACUGGGAGGAACACCGGUGGCGAAGGCGGCUACCUGGACCGGUUCUGACGCUGAGGCGCGAAAGCGUGGGGAGCAAACAGG